GAUGAACGCUGGCGGCGUGCUUAACACAUGCAAGUCGAACGGAAAGGCCGAAGCUUGCUUCGGUACUCGAGUGGCGAACGGGUGAGUAACACGUGGGUGAUCUGCCCUGUACUUCGGGAUAAGCUUGGGAAACUGGGUCUAAAACCGGAUAUGACGAUCUCUUGGAUGGGGUUGUGGAAAGCUUUUGCGGUAUGGGAUGAGCUCGCGGCCUAUCAGCUUGUUGGUGGGGUAAUGGCCUACCAAGGCGUCGACGGGUAGCCGGCCUGAGAGGGUGUACGGCCACAUUGGGACUGAGAUACGGCCCAGACUCCUACGGGAGGCAGCAGUGGGGAAUAUUGCACAAUGGGCGCAAGCCUGAUGCAGCGACGCCGCGUGGGGGAUGACGGCCUUCGGGUUGUAAACUCCUUUCGCAAUCGACGAAGCCUUUUGGUGACGGUAGGUUGAGAAGAAGCACCGGCUAACUACGUG
rnacentral:rRNA from 1 species